rnacentral:rRNA from 1 species
GUCGAGAAUUUUUCUCAAUGGGGGAAACCCUGAAGGAGCGACGCCGCGUGGAGGAUGAAGGUCUUCGGAUUGUAAACUCCUGUCAUUGGGGAACAAUGCGUAAAUAUUAACUGUAUUUGCGUUGAUAGUACCCGAAGAGGAAGAGACGGCUAACUCUGUGCCAGCAGCCGCGGUAAUACAGAGGUCUCAAGCGUUGUUCGGAUUCAUUGGGCGUAAAGGGUGCGUAGGCGGCGCGGUAAGUCGGGUGUGAAAUCUCGGGGCUUAACUCCGAAACUGCAUUCGAUACUGCCGUGCUUGAGGACUGGAGAGGAGACUGGAAUUUACGGUGUAGCGGUGAAAUGCGUAGAUAUCGUAAGGAAGACCAGUGGCGAAGGCGGGUCUCUGGACAGUUCCUGACGCUGAGGCACGAAGGCCAGGGGAGCAAACGGGAUUAGAUACCCUAGUAGUCC